AUACGUAAGGACAAUCUGGCUGUAACAUCUGUCACCCCAUUGAUGGCCAGGGUUGAUUGGGCUGAUCUGGCAAACUAGGCAGUUGUCCCCUUCCUCCCUCACUGCUCUGUAUGCAUCUCUCUCAAAGCUGAGCUCUUGGUCAAAGAGGAAGAAACCUUCCCUGAUGGAGCAGGAUGUUCUUUGGUCAAAGGUAUAUGAGUAGUUGUGUUCCCCUGCUAGAGUCUCCAAACAAGCUCUCAAAAAGAGGAUAACUUAAAAGAUAGAGCCAUAACCAACUUGCUUAAACUAAUAUAUGAAGACAU
rnacentral:snRNA from 1 species